rnacentral:pre_miRNA from 9 species
AAUAGACGACUCAAAAGUCAACUCAAAUUUGUAUGCAGUUGGAACGUUUGCGUACGUUUGCCGCUAGGGGCGCUGUUCCAACUGCAUACAAAUUUGAGUUGACUUUUACGCUAUCGA